UCUUAAAUAUUUAAGUAUUAUAAGUUUUUUUAGGUUUAGGUUUUUCAUCUAAUAUUUAAUUUUUAUUUCAGUUAAUAAAAAUAUUUAAAUAGUUUUAGUUUUAUUUGACAAUAACAUCACUACCCUCAAGUCGUUUCACACCUGUAUGACUUUCUUUUUUCUGUGGAGCACAAAAGUGUCUGUGUUUUUCAUUUGUUUGUUUUGUUUUUGUCCAUACAAUAAAAUUUAUCGGGACUCAAUGUUGUUUGGACCCCACUGACUUUCAUUUCAUGGACAAAAUACCUUCAUUUGUGUUCAAUGGAAAGAAAAGAAAAUCAUGCAGGUUCAGAACAAUAUGAUGGCGAGUAUAAGGGAAAAUCAGAAAUAAAAAUUUUGGGUGAACUAUCCCUUUAAGGCCAGAUUUUAUUACCUCUACAGUCUGCAGUCUCAGACAUCUGGGUGGAUGAUGCUUCAUUUCUCUUUCUUCCAGUCACUGGGAGUUGAAAUUGCGGUUAAGUGUUUGUAUGCACAGCAAAUUUUCUCCUGACUGUCCUAGAUGGUCUACUACUUUAUUUGCUCAGCAUUUGUCUCAGCAGAUUUAAUUUGUGCCAUAUAAACUCGCUAGACAUUUGUCUCCCGUAAAAUUCCAACUUUCCAGUAAAUAUUUCAACAGACGCUUUUCCUUUUCCCCCAAAUUCUUCACCUUAUCAUCAGGAUUAUUCGACUGUUUGUCUUUUUAUAUUGUCCCACUCUGUGUCUCUGUGUGUGUCUAUUUUUCCUGUGAUGUUCUGGACCUUUAGCCUGUGUAGCCUGUGUUUGAAGUCUGCUGGAGUGAAGACCCAAAAGGUAAACUUUCUCUUGGAUUCUUUGGUUCUCUGGUAAGGGCACUGGCUUGAUGCUCAGUCAGACCCUUCACAUUUAAUCGGUGGAAUAGAAUGGCAUGGAAAGACUUCUGUCCUUGCAAUCCACAUCAAUCAGUCUGUGGUUUCUGCCUUUUUAAAUUCAAACCUCUCUCUCUCUCUUCUCUAUCACUUCUGUCUUUCCACCCUCCUUACAUCUCAAUGCUCAGAUUUCUCCCAUUGGCCAGCACUGCCAAGACUGACACGCUGACCUGUAGUAUUUUUAGCGUGUGAGAUAGUUGGUUGAUACACUGCGUCUUCUCCCAGCACCUGAUGACAUCUAUGAAGAAAACCAAUAUGUGUGUAGUAAAGAUAAGGAUGCCGAUGUGCUAGACAUCAACGUCAUUGCCUUUUCAUAGUCUUGGGAUGUCCAACUCUAACUAGAGGUUUAACCAAAUCCAUGCCUGGCCACAUCUGAUUUAAAGUUAUUUUAAAGUUACAUACAGAGUGGUCCAUCAUUACAGACACUGGGGUUAAGUGGGCCUGGUGAGCUGCUCUGACAAUAAAAUACUUGGUAUAAAUACCGCCAAGAUAUAAACAAGUUUAUGACUGUGUAAUUUAGCGUGUUCACAGACGUAAAUAUUUUACCAUCUGGAAUAUGAUUUAUACCAUUUUGAUAACUGUGAGACAAAUUAAGUCAUGAGAUGAAAAAUAAGUGUUAUGGAAAGGUCAUAGCACAUUCUCCACUGAUGCAUAAACUAAAUAUGUAAACUUCAAAAUAAAAUAAACAAUGAAUAUCAGACGCCAACUUUUUUGUGUAAAGUUUUUUUUUUUUAUUCAGUCAGUUUUUUAAUUAUUAUUUUUAUUUUAGCUUCAUUCCACCUUCAAAAAUUCUAAAUACACUUACACUAUAUAUGUGUAAUGGAAUGAUAUUGUUUUAAUUGGUGAUAAUUAUUAAAAUUACAAUAUCAUGAAAUAUAUAUUAAAUAACAGUUUUUGUGUUUCCGGAUAAAAUGUCAUUAACGUUCAUAUGCAUUUGAUUUACAGUGAGCCUAUGGGAAAUGCUUUUUUUAAUAUUACCAGUCCAAGCAAUAAGUCUGAAAAGCUGUGUUUACUGUAAAUAGGCUGAAAGUCUGUCUGAAAGGGGAUCCAACACAUCAACACAUGGAAGCAUGAGAAUGACAUGAAUGAAAAUGGCUAUGGGACAUAAUGGGCUCAGGGGGCUCAAGGCCUGAUGAUAAUAGUUUACUGUAUCUCAGCAACCAUUGCUUUGGUGUGGUGUUUAUCGGUUAAUGUCAUUCAGCAUGCGACAUAUACCUGAAAACACACCGCCUAAAGCUAUUAUUAUUAUUUUAUUUUAUUUUUUCUGAAAAGCACAGCACAGACAGAGACCGAGUGGGAGAAGAGAAAGGGUAAUUGUUCCAUACCGUCUGUGAGGCAAACCGGUGGAUCCAUUUUAAAUGAAUCCCAACUAAGAAAACAAAACCUGAUGAAAGUGCUUAGCUGAAACAAAAACACACCUUUGAAACAUUUAAAGGGUUGAAGAUAAGAGGAGCGCUACGCACACACGGGCAUUACACGUAUUUGUGUAUGUGCGCGCUCAAGCAUGAUGUCAUGGAAAAGACAUAAGUUACUAAAAUGCUUAGCAAUCAUUCAGAGCUUUAGACCAUAUAUGAUUAUGUUCUCCAAAGACUUGCCAGGAAAUAUCGCCAGGUUUUUUCUUAGGUUAUUUGGCUCUCCAAACGCAGAGGUGAUUAAAGUUGAAGCUGUCAGCUGAAAGUGAGCGUCAGAAAAAAUUUGACGCCACAAACUGAGUGAUGGCUCUGACAUCCGCACAGCUCGUCUCUAUAUCGCAGCUCUGUAACUGUAAUUUAACGGCGGCCAUCUAUGUCAUUUGUUAUUUUAUAGAAAUCCGCAGUGAGGGAGGAUUUAGACUAACCAGUGAACGACGUUCCCCUGCUGAGUUCCUAUAAAUCUGUGACUGUCCAUUAAUAACUGACUGAAGAAAUGGAUUCCUUUUGGGAGAGAAGACCAGCUGAGGGGUCAAAGGUCAGGAUCAGACACCCUCCCCUGCAGCCCUACAGGAGGGUCGGGCAGAUUCUCAGCCAUUAAAAUGGGUAGGGAUGGAAAAGCUUCACGGUCCACUGACCUCCCAUGACCCUGUCUCCUCAUCUGCCCUCUGGACCUAGUGUCGGGAAGUAAAGUCAUCCACAGUGAUUUAUCAGGUCUGUUGGGGGCCAGUCAUUUUCUCUAUCUCUUUACCUUGUCUGUCUUUUCUGUCACUGUUUAUCUUUCUCCCAUUAGUCAUGGUAGCGUCUCUGUCCCUCUGUCAGCUCAAUUAAGCGUGUUUGCACUCAGACAGAGUCUCUGUUGCAGGCCUCUUUGUUCUUUCUUUUCAUUUAAUAUGGAGUAAUAUAAGUUUAUUGCACAGCUCUCUGGAAUCCUUGUUUCUGAUUGGUCAAUCGCAACAUUCCAUGGUAAAAUAUUUUCAUAAUGAUUUCUAAACUGUACACUUGAAAACUGUACACACCAGUCACCUGUGCUAGUAUCUCAUAGUCUCUUUCUUCAAAUAUAAUAAAGUAAUCUAAACUUGAAUCAAUAUAUAAUGUCCAUUAUUUAUUAAAAAAAAAGUGAGACGGGGUAUAAUAGUUUCUUCAGCUAUGAGCACUUUUCCCAGCAAGUUGUGAUGUUAAAGAAGAAGCGACAGAUUUUUUGUUUGUUUUUGGCGUACAUCCAAAUUAAAUGGAUUAUUUAAAAAGAAAAGAGUGUAGGGUGGUUGUUGAUCUGAAUGCAAACUCUGGUGAAGUCUGGUAUAUGGAACAACGGUCUGUCAGUCACUCAUAUUUCAAUAAAAAAUGAUGCUAAAAAAAAUUUAUAAUGAUGGUAUAAUUGUGUGUAUUAAGGACAUAUAAAGUGCUAGCAAUGAAAUCAGAUCAUCCAAAACAAAGAAAUCUAUACUCGCAGGCACACAAAAGGAUAAGUCUGGAAGUCCAGUUAUUAUCUCUGCUCCAUAUAUAAAUCUCUCAUUCUCUAUUCUGUGUUGUCCCAAUGACUCAUAUUAUUGAGCCUCCUACUGCAUACUGAGAGAGGACUCAGAAAUAAUAGUCCAGGCCAGCAAGCUGUGUGUGGGAGAGCUCUGCUGAUACUCAUCCUGCUGCUCAUCAUUCAUUCUCAUUCAUACAAGGAUUAUUCCUACAGGGAAGGGAAAGACAUCAUAUUUCAACAGCACAUCUCGGAUCGAGGUAGGAGUCUGCAUUUCAUUGAUUCAGGAUCAGGGACACCUACCAACAGCUGAAUUUAUCUCUGACUGGUUGCGCCAGACCCAACCACCGGGCUUAUCAUGAGCAGUGACAGAUGCCCAGCAGUCGCCACAUCCCUCCAGCACAUGCCCUGACCUCUCUGACCUCAGCACUGCCAACAGUAGAAUGGAUCACCACCACACACGCUUUUUGUCCAUAUAAUGAAAGUCAGAUGGGCCCAAAACAACACUGGACCACACUGACCUUCACUGUAUGGACAGAGAAAUUACAAAUACAUUCUUUAGAAUAUGUUCUUUUGUGUUUCACAGGAGAAAGAAAGCUAUACAGGUUUGGAAUGGCAUGAGGAUGAGUAAAUGAUGAUGAUAGAUGUAUUACUUCACUUUCUGCCCAGCCCUCAUUGAAAAUGAUUUGUGUCCCAGCAGAUAACCUUUUCCAGGCCCAUCCUGCUUCUGCAGCUAACUGUCUGGUACAUCGCUGCUAAUGAGCUACAAAGCAUUCUCACUGGAGGCUGAUACUGUUACUGCAGUGCAACCAGACCACCAUAGGCAGGUGUAUGAGUGAUUACAUAUAUUUGGCUCUGAUCCCUCGCAGUGAGAAACCAAAAUGGUUAUUCUCUGCACAGCUCAUGAAACUCUCAUCAGGAACACGGUCAAAUAAGCCCAUUAUUACGCUGUCCAAACCACUUCAGAGGAGCGCACGUAUCCCAGCUCAUCACUCUCAGCACGGUGACACCAAUACCACUGAUGACUUUCCAAGUGCACUGCUGUGUAUGUUUGCGUCUGUGCGUGUGUGUGUUAAAGACUAAGUGGCCUCACCUUCUAACGGUUAAAGAGAGAGGAUGAUGUCAUGCAGUGCAGGCUGCCGUAGGGUAAAGGAGCCUGGGAGGUUUUAGCAACAGAGCAGAUUGCAGAAACAAUAGAUGGAUAUGACAGAAAAUGUGUUUUGGCUUGAGUUGCCUCGAUUACUUCACUCUUGCUUGCCUUUCUAGAAAACUAUCAUUGCUAAAGCAUUAUUCUUGGCAUGGGCUACAGAUUGAUAGUUCCUGCUUCUCAAAAAGGGGUUGCUGCUUUGUGGAGUUUUAGCAAUUAUAAUGUGAACUUUUACUUUCUGCAGGUUUCUUCUAAUGCACUUAUAUCAAUACCGUUUAAAUGUUUGGGAUUGAUAACAUUUUUUUUUUAUUAUUUUAAAGAAGUCUCUUAUGCUCACCAAGGCUGCAGUAAUUUGAGUAAAAA